CCUACGGGAGGCAGCAGUGGGGAAUAUUGCACAAUGGGGGAAACCCUGAUGCAGCAACGCCGCGUGAAGGAAGACGGUUUUCGGAUUGUAAACUCCUGUUCUUAGUGAAGAAUAUUGACGUUAGCAAAGGAGCAAGCCACGGCCAACUACGUGCCAGCCGCCGCGGUAAUACGUAGGUGGCAAGCGUUGUCCGGAAUUACUGGGGGUAAGGGGAGCGCAGGCGGGAUGCCAAGUCAGCUGUGAAAACUACGGGCUUAACUUGUAGACUGCAGUUGAAACUGGUAUUCUUGAGUAAAGUAGAGGUAGGCGGAAUUCCGGGUGUAGCGGUGAAAUGCGUAGAUAUUCGGAGGAACACCGGUGGCGAAGGCGGCCUGCUGGACUUUAACUGACGCUGAGGCUCGAAAGUGUGGGGAGCAAACAGGAUUAGAUACCCUUGUAGUC
rnacentral:rRNA from 1 species